UACGUAGGGGGCAAGCGUUGUCCGGAUUUAUUGGGCGUAAAGAGCUCGUAGGCGGUUUGGUAAGUCUGGUGUGAAAUCUCCACGCUCAACGUGGAGGGGCCACCCGAUACUGCCAUGACUGGAGUCCGGUAGAGGAGUGUGGAAUUCCCGGUGUAGCGGUGAAAUGCGUAGAUAUCAAGAGGAACACCUGAGGUGAAGACGGGUUGCUGGGCCAACACUGACGCUGAGGCGCGAAAGCCAGGGGAGCAAACGGG
rnacentral:rRNA from 1 species